UACGUAGGUGGCAAGCGUUGUCCGGAUUUACUGGGCUUAAAGCGUGUGUAGGUGGAUCUGUAAGUACCUUGUGAAAUCCCACGACUCAAUCGUGGAACUGCUUGGUAUACUGCCAGUCUUGAGGCACUCAGGGGCGAGCGGAACAGAUGGUGGAGCGGUGAAAUGCGUAGAUAUCAUCUGGAACGCCAAUGGUGAAGACAGCUCGCUGGGGGUGUUCUGACACUGAGACACGAAAGCCAGGGGAGCAAACGGG
rnacentral:rRNA from 1 species